rnacentral:rRNA from 1 species
UACGGAGGGUGCAAGCGUUGUUCGGAUUUACUGGGCGUAAAGCGCGCGCAGGUGGGUGAACAAGUCGGAAGUGAAAUCCCAGGGCUCAACCCUGGGGCUGCUCCCGAAACUGUACGCCUAGGGACUGGUAGAGGCUGGUAGAAUUCCCGGUGUAGCGGUGAAAUGCGCAGAUAUCAGGAAGAACACCGAUGGCGAAGGCAGCUCGCUGGGACGUCACUGACGCUGAGACGCGAAAGCGUGGGGAGCAAACAGG